UACGUAGGGGGCAAGCGUUGUCCGGAAUUACUGGGCGUAAAGGGAGCGUAGGCGGUUUUAUAAGUCAGAUGUGAAAUACCCGGGCUUAACCUGGGGGGUGCAUCUGAAACUGUAGGACUUGAGUGCGGAAGAGGCAAGUGGAAUUCCUAGUGUAGCGGUGAAAUGCGUAGAUAUUAGGAGGAACACCAGUGGCGAAGGCGACUUGCUGGGACGUAACUGACGCUGAGGCUCGAAAGCGUGGGGAGCAAACAGG
rnacentral:rRNA from 1 species